rnacentral:rRNA from 1 species
UGGGGAAUUUUGGACAAUGGGCGCAAGCCUGAUCCAGCCAUGCCGCGUGCAGGAUGAAGGCCCUCGGGUUGUAAACUGCUUUUGUACGGAACGAAAAGCCUCUUUCUAAUAAAGAGGGGUGAUGACGGUACCGUAAGAAUAAGCACCGGCUAACUACGUGCCAGCAGCCGCGGUAAUCCGUAGGGUGCGAGCGUUAAUCGGAAUUACUGGGCGUAAAGCGUGCGCAGGCGGUCUUGCAAGACAGUGGUGAAAUCCCCGGGCUCAACCUGGGAACUGCCAUUGUGACUGCAAGGCUGGAGUACGGCAGAGGGGGAUUGAAUUCCGCGUGUAGCAGUGAAAUGCGUAGAUAUGCGGAGGAACACCGAUGGCGAAGGCAGUCCCCUGGGCCUGUACUGACGCUCAUGCACGAAAGCGUGGGGAGCAAACA